GGAGAGCUUGCAAACCUCUCACUCUGAAGAAAGAUAUGAAAUUUGCUUUAUUUCAAAUUAUCUUAAUCUUAUACUAAAUUAAAAUAUCAUGGAUAAAACUUAGAGUUUUGGCUUUAAGGAGUAUCAAUCUUAGGGGGAGCUUGCAAACCUCAUAAACCUAAGAGAAACAUGAUAAGUUAAUUUAACAACAAUUGUCAAUUAAUACUUAUGUUUGUCAUCAUCAAAAAGGGGGAGAUUGUUGGAACAAAAUUGAUUUGAAAAAUGUUUGCCCCUAAAUCUAUAAAGGUUUUGAUGAUAACAAAGUAUUAAUAAACAAUUGGAAGGACUAAAAAUUUAUUUUAAGUGCGCAGAUAUAAGCAUCAGAUAAGCUCUGAGUGAAG
rnacentral:lncRNA from 1 species